rnacentral:rRNA from 1 species
CCUACGGGUGGCAGCAGUAGGGAAUAUUGCUCAAUGGGCGCAACCCUGAUGCAGCAACGCCGCGUGGAGGAUGAAGGUUUUCGGAUUGUAAACUCCUUUUGUUAGAGAAGAUAGUGGCGGUAUCUAACGAAUAAGCACCUGCUAAUACCGGGCCAGCAGCCGCGGUCAUACGGCGGGCGCAAGCGUUCCUCGGAAUGACUGGGCGUAAAGGGCACGGAGGCGGGUUAGCAAGACAGAUGUGAAAGCCUUUGGCUAAACCAUGGAACUGCAUUUGAAACUGGGAGUCUAGAGUAUGGGAGAGGGAGGUGGAAUUCUAGGUGUAGGGGUGAAAUGCGUAGAGAUCAAGAGGAAUACUCAUGGCGAAGGCGACCUGCUGGAACAUAACUGACGCUGAGGCGCGAAAGCGUGGGGAGCAAACAGGAUUAGAUACCCUAGUAGUC